AAAGGCCUUCGGGUUGUAAACCACUUUUGUCUGGGAAGAAACGGCUCUUACUAAUAUUGGGAGCUAAUGACGG
rnacentral:rRNA from 1 species